rnacentral:rRNA from 1 species
GCCGACGAUGCGUAGGGGUUCUGAGAGGAAGGCCCCCCACACUGGUACUGAGACACGGACCAGACUCCUACGGGAGGCAGCAGUGAGGAAUAUUGGUCAAUGGCCGAGAGGCUGAACCAGCCAAGUCGCGUGAGGGAAGAAUGUCCUAAGGAUUGUAAACCUCUUUUGUCGGGGAGCAAAAAGGCUCUGCGGAGUCGUAUUGAGAGUACCCGAAGAAAAAGCAUCGGCUAACUCCGUGCCAGCAGCCGCGGUAAUACGGAGGAUGCGAGCGUUAUCCGGAUUUAUUGGGUUUAAAGGGUGCGCAGGCGGCGUGUCAAGCAAGCGGUAAAAUAGCGGGGCUCAACCCCGUCGAGCCGUUUGAACUGGCGCGCUUGAGUUCAGGCGAGGUAGGCGGAAUUCGUGGUGUAGCGGUGAAAUGCAUAGAUAUCACGAAGAACUCCGAUUGCGAAGGCAGCUUACCAGUCUGCGACUGACGCUCAGGCACGAAAGUGUGGGUAUCGAACAGGAUUAGAUACCCUGGUAGUCCACACAGUAAACGAUGAGCGCUAGGUGUCCGGGUCGCAUGAGACUUGG